GUAAGGGGGACCUAUUUCUGUAAAUAAUGAUUUCAGUCAAUCUCCAUAUGUUUGAUAGAGGAAAUUUAAAUUUGUUGACUUGAUGUGUGCAUUGUCUUUAUUUGCUCCUGGAGAAUGCUUUCUGCAAAGCGCCUAUCCCUGUUACUGCAAACUUGUAAAUUCUGGUAUCAGUAAAUUAAUGGACAUAAUUCUGUUUUACCACAGCAUCCACUGAAUGACAUGCAAUGUUUUCAAGUCUGUUACCACACAAUAUGAAGAUGCUAAUAUUCAGCAACUUGGCUAUUUCAGUUACCACUUGGAUAUAGCAUAUUUUUUGUUCAGUUUUGUGAUUGUUCUUCUGCCUAUAGUCAUCCUUUUAC
rnacentral:misc_RNA from 1 species